rnacentral:rRNA from 1 species
AGUAACGCGUAAAGAACUUGCCUCAUAGUCUGGGACAACAUUUGGAAACGGAUGCUAAUACCGGAUAUUAUGCUUUCUUCGCAUGGAGGAAGUAUGAAAGCUAUAUGCGCUAUGAGAGAGCUUUGCGUCCCAUUAGCUAGUUGGUGAGGUAACGGCCCACCAAGGCGAUGAUGGGUAGCCGGCCUGAGAGGGUGAACGGCCACAAGGGGACUGAGAUACGGCCCAGACUCCUACGGGAGGCAGCAGCG